rnacentral:rRNA from 1 species
GAUGAACGCUGGCGGCGUGCCUAAUACAUGCAAGUCGAGCGAACGGACGAGAAGCUUGCUUCUCUGAUGUUAGCGGCGGACGGGUGAGUAACACGUGGAUAACCUACCUAUAAGACUGGGAUGACUUCGGGAAACCGGAGCUAAUACCGGAUAAUAUUUUGAACCGCAUGGUUCAAAAGUGAAAGACGGUCUUGCUGUCACUUAUAGAUGGAUCCGCGCUGCAUUAGCUAGUUGGUAAGGUAACGGCUUACCAAGGCAACGAUGCAUAGCCGACCUGAGAGGGUGAUCGGCCACACUGGAACUGAGACACGGUCCAGACUCCUACGGGAGGCAGCAGUAGGGAAUCUUCCGCAAUGGGCGAAAGCCUGACGGAGCAACGCCGCGUGAGUGAUGAAGGUCUUCGGAUCGUAAAACUCUGUUAUUAGGGAAGAACAUAUGUGUAGGUAACUGUGCACAUCUUGACGGUACCUAAUCAGAAAGCCACGGCUAACUACGUG